rnacentral:sRNA from 1 species
UGUUGCGGGCACCGCAGUCGCCGUGAAGAUGGCGUCUACCAGCCGUUUGGAUGCUCUUCCAAGAGUCACAUGUCCAAACCAUCCAGAUGCGAUUUUAGUGGAGGACUACCGAGCUGGUGAUAUGAUCUGUCCUGAAUGUGGCUUGGUUGUAGGUGACCGGGUUAUUGAUGUGGGAUCUGAAUGGCGAACUUUCAGCAAUGACAAAGCAACAAAAGAUCCAUCUCGAGUUGGAGAUUCUCAGAAUCCUCUUCUGAGUGAUGGAGAUUUGUCUACCAUGAUUGGCAAGGGCACAGGAGCUGCAAGUUUUGACGAAUUUGGCAAUUCUAAGUACCAGAAUCGGAGAACAAUGAGCAGUUCUGAUCGGGCAAUGAUGAAUGCAUUCAAAGAAAUCACUACCAUGGCAGACAGAAUCAAUCUACCUCGAAAUAUAGUUGAUCGAACGAAUAAUUUAUUCAAGCAAGUAUAUGAACAGAAGAGCCUGAAGGGAAGAGCUAAUGAUGCCAUAGCUUCUGCUUGUCUCUAUAUUGCCUGUAGACAAGAAGGGGUUCCUAGGACAUUUAAAGUUUGCAGUUACAUGUGAAUAUGUGAUAAUUUGUUCAGUGUUGCUCACUGACUUCCACUACCAAAGCUCAGUUUAGCUGAAGACUAUACUUAACCCUUUAUUCAUCCAAAAUAUGUGCCGUAUCACGAAUUUCUAAGAAAGAAAUUGGUCGGUGUUUUAAACUUAUUUUGAAAGCGCUAGAAACCAGUGUGGAUUUGAUUACAACUGGGGACUUCAUGUCCAGGUUCUGUUCCAACCUUUGUCUUCCUAAACAAGUGCAGAUGGCAGCUACACAUAUAGCCCGUAAAGCUGUGGAAUUGGACUUGGUUCCCGGGAGGAGCCCCAUCUCUGU